rnacentral:sRNA from 1 species
UGAAUUAACCAAAAAGUACCGAUAUCCC